rnacentral:lncRNA from 1 species
GAACGAGAAGGGCGGGGAGCCCUCGCUCCCGACCUGGGGAAACGACCCUGUCUCGCUUCGGGGACGGACCAGGCGCCCGGCUCGGCCCGGCCCGGGCGGAGGAGCCGCGGACGCCCGCGGGACGGCGCGCGCCGCCCCGGCCGAAGCCCCGCUGCCGCGACGGACCGCCGCCGCCGCCGCCGCCGCGACCGACGGGGACGGGAGCAGACCAGGCCCCCGCCCGCGCCGGACCGCCCGACGGCGCCCGCACCGACCUCGGCCCCUUCCUCGCCGUGCGGGAGACGCGCGCACCGAAACGCCCC